rnacentral:tRNA from 1 species
GCGGGUGUAGCUCAAUGGCAGAGCAUAAGCUUCCCAAGCUUGAGACGAGGGUUCGAUUCCCUUCACCCGCUCCA